rnacentral:rRNA from 1 species
UACGGGGGGAGCAAGCGUUGUUCGGAUUUACUGGGCGUAAAGGGCGCGUAGGCGGCCAGCACAAGUCAGUUGUGAAAUCUCCGAGCUUAACUCGGAAAGGUCAACUGAUACUGUGCGGCUAGAGUGCGGAAGGGGCAACUGGAAUUCUUGGUGUAGCGGUGAAAUGCGUAGAUAUCGUAAGGAAGACCAGUGGCGAAGGCGGAUCUCUGGACAGUUACUGACACUGAGGCACGAAGGCCAGGGGAGCAAACGGG